GUGAAUCAUCAAAUCUUUGAACGCAAAUUGCACUUUCUGGUAUUCCGGAAAGUAUGCCUGUUUGAGGGUCAGUUAAAUCAAAAUCGGUGUUGUUGCUGCCUUUCGUGGUGACGCGGCGGAAUUGGGUCGUCCUACCUUCGGUUAAGUGACUUAAAAUUUUUGCAUGAUUUUGGAGCAUAUUUAACUCUCUUACGUAGGUUUGAGCCAUCGACUGUUAAUUAGGUUCGGUCAUUCCCAUC
rnacentral:misc_RNA from 1 species